rnacentral:snRNA from 1 species
AUACUCUGCUUUCUCUCCAGAACGAAUUAGUCUUUGGUCUUUUACUAAAGACAUCUGGAGAUGGCAACGAUUGUGAGUAAAACCAGAUGACUGGGAGCUCCUAAAAAUCAAGCAC